rnacentral:rRNA from 1 species
UACAGAGGGUGCAAGCGUUAAUCGGAAUUACUGGGCGUAAAGCGUGCGUAGUCGGUUAUUUAAGUCAGGUGUGAAAUCCCCGGGCUCAACCUGGGAAUUGCAUUUGAUACUGGAUAGCUAGAGUUCGGCAGAGGGAAGUGGAAUUUCUGGUGUAGCGGUGAAAUGCGUAGAUAUGAGAAGGAACAUCAGUGGCGAAAGCGACUUCCUGGACCAGAACUGACGAUCAGGCACGAGAGCGUGGGGAGCAAACAGG